GAACCGUACGAACGUUAUUCGGAAUUACUGGGCUUAAAGGGUGCGUAGGCGGCUUGGGAAAGUUGGGGUGUGAAAGCCCUCGGGCUCAACCGAGGAAUGGCGCCCAAAACUGCCAGGCUUGAGGGAGACAGAGGUGAGUGGAACUUAGGGUGGAGCGGUGAAAUGCGUUGAUAUCCUAAGGAACACCAGUGGCGAAAGCGACUCACUGGGUCUCUUCUGACGCUGAGGCACGAAAGCUAGGGGAGCGAACGGGAUUAGAUACCCCGGUAGUCCUAGCUGUAAACGAUGAGCACUGGGUCGGAGAGCCUUCCAUAGCUUUCCGGCCGAAGCGAAAGUGUUAAGUGCUCCGCCUGGGGAGUAUGGUCGCAAAGGCUG
rnacentral:rRNA from 1 species